rnacentral:rRNA from 1 species
UGCAUGGUUGUCGUCAGCUCGUGCCGUGAGGUGUCGGGUUAAGUCCCAUAACGAGCGCAACCCUACCUUUAGUUGCCAUCAGGUAAUGCUGGGGACUCUAAAGGAACUGCUACGCAAGUAGUGAGGAAGGCGGGGAUGACGUCAAAUCAGCACGGCCCUUACGUCCAGGGCUACACACGUGCUACAAUGGCCGAUACAGAGGGCAGCUACCUGGUGACAGGAUGCAAAUCUCCAAAGUCGGUCUCAGUUCGGAUCGGAGUCUGCAACCCGACUCCGUGAAGUUGGAUUCGCUAGUAAUCGCGCAUCAGCCAUGGCGCGGUGAAUACGUUCCCGGGCCUU